AUUUAAAGAAAGCGUAAUAGCUCACUGGUCGAGUCGGCCUGCGCGGAAGAUGUAACGGGGCUAAACCAUGCACCGAAGCUGCGGCAGCGACGCUGAUGCGUUGUUGGGUAGGGGAGCGUUCUGUAAGCCUGUGAAGGUGGCCUGUGAGGGUUGCUGGAGGUAUCAGAAGUGCGAAUGCUGACAUAAGUAACGAUAAAGCGGGUGAAAAGCCCGCUCGCCGGAAGACCAAGGGUUCCUGUCCAACGUUAAUCGGGGCAGGGUGAGUCGACCCCUAAGGCGAGGCCGAAAGGCGUAGUCGAUGGGAAACGGGUUAAUAUUCCCGUACUUGGUGUUACUGCGAAGGGGGGACGGAGAAGGCUAUGUUGGCCGGGCGACGGUUGUCCCGGUUUAAGCGUGUAGGUGUGUGUUCCAGGUAAAUCCGGUUCACUUUAAC
rnacentral:rRNA from 1 species